rnacentral:tRNA from 1 species
GAGAAUAUAGCUUAAAGGAUAAAGCCUUUGCCUUUUAAGCAAAAGAGUAAGAGUUCAAAUCUCUUUAUUCUCA